GCGAACGCUGGCGGCAUGCCUAACACAUGCAAGUCGCACGGAGUGCUUCGGCACUUAGUGGCGGACGGGUGAGUAACGCGUAGGAAUCUAUCCUAAGGAGGGGGACAACACUGGGAAACCGGUGCUAAUACCGCAUAACAAUUAAGGUUCAAAGGCUUCGGCCGCCUUAGGAGGGGCCUGCGUUCGAUUAGUUAGUUGGUAGGGUAAAAGCUUACCAAGGCGAUGAUCGAUAGCUGGUUUAAGAGGAUGGUCAGCCACACUGGGACUGAGACACGGCCCAGACUCCUACGGGAGGCAGCAGUGGGGAAUAUUGGACAAUGGGGGCAACCCUGAUCCAGCAAUGCCGCGUGCGUGAAGAAGGUCUUCGGAUUGUAAAGCGCUUUCGAUAGGGGAGAUGAUGACGGUACCUAUAGAAGAAGCUCCGGCUAACUUCGUGC
rnacentral:rRNA from 1 species